GCCACGGCUCAGCAGGUAGAGCAUCUGCUUUGCAUGCAGAAGGUCCCAGGUUCAAUCCCCGGUAUCUCCA